rnacentral:tRNA from 1 species
GCGGGUGUAGUUUAGUGGUAAAACUACAGCCUUCCAAGCUGUUGUCGCGAGUUCGAUUCUCGUCACCGCU